UACGGAGGGAGCUAGCGUUAUUCGGAUUUACUGGGCGUAAAGCGCACGUAGGCGGCUUUGUAAGUUAGAGGUGAAAGCCUGGAGCUCAACUCCAGAAUUGCCUUUAAGACUGCAUCGCUUGAAUCCAGGAGAGGUGAGUGGAAUUCCGAGUGUAGAGGUGAAAUUCGUAGAUAUUCGGAAGAACACCAGUGGCGAAGGCGGCUCACUGGACUGGUAUUGACGCUGAGGUGCGAAAGCGUGGGGAGCAAACAGG
rnacentral:rRNA from 1 species